AUAUAUAAUAUAUAUUGUACAAUACAUUGCUAAGCCGGUCUCAAGGUUUUCAUCUCUAAUACAAUGUGAUAAGUACCUUUGCUAAGAAGAGCGGCUUAACAUAAACUUUGCGCAUCUCAUGUGUCACAAAGUUCUGAAACUGGCAUUUUUCCUUCACAGUGUUCUGGCCUUCAGAUCAGGCUAUUGUGCUGUGUGAAAUUAUACAGGGGGAAAUUUGGACCCUUGUCAAGGAGAUGUAGAAAGCGUUCAGUGGGGCUUUGCUGCUGACUACAGAUUUACAGCUGCUGCCUGCAAGACUGAGAGUCAACACUAUAGUUCUUUAAUAAGUGUCCACGUUCUAGAAACUGUGUGUGUGACCAAAGUGAACAGAGGAAUCCCUCCUUAUUGUGUACACUUUGAGUUGUCCGUGGUGCAGAUGCUGCUCACUCCCAGGCUGUCAGUGGAGCAACGCUGAUUCCCAGCCUGUCUGUAAAUGACUGAGGAAGAAGAUAGGCAAAGAGGCUCUUCUGCUCAGCACCUCUGGAUGUAUUUGUUACGGUAGAAGAACGGCCAUGUGUCUACUGAUGGAAGAGUAAUUGGUGCUGUUGGCAAAAAUCCUCUCCUUUCCAUUUGAAAUGAGUGAGACGUGCUCAAAACACAUUUUAUCAGUAAGGCAGCUGGGAAGGAUGAGGAGUAAGCACAGUGCCAUAGGCUCAGCUCAGAAGGGAGAAGCCUGUGGGCCCUGAUUUCCCCCAGCCAUGUUUUGCUUUUGUUUGAAAACAUUAUUCUGAAGAGGCCGGUUGACAGCUCCUUAGGUGGAAGUGCCCUGUCCACAAAACUGGUAUAGCAAAAAUAAUCAAGAUAACAGGUAAGGAUUUCACCCUUGCUAGCAUGCACUUUUCCACCUGCAUUCUCACCUGGAAGGACUUCCUCGACUUGCAACACUGAUGAGGACAAACACCUUUGAACUCAGACUCCCAAAGGAUGAGGACAAAAUAAUGAGCACUGUCCUAUCAGCAAAGGUAUCCCGUGACUGUUGCCCUUGCCACCACAGCUGACACACCUGAGGAACACAUUCACAGGGUACAAAAACUUAGAUCUCAGCUUAGCACUAGAGGCCAGGCACAACUUUUGAGUCUGUGAAACAGAGAUCUCAACACUAAGCACCAAUUACCUGUACUGUCUCUCAUAUUUGGAUCUCUGCCUCCAUGCUGCAACAGUUUAUUGGUUGCCGAUUAGUGGCAAAUAGAUUAUUCCAUUAAAUACUUUUAGUAAGUCCUUAGAAAGUCUUUUGAAAUUUGUAGUUGUGCUUUUUCGAUUACUUUUCCAAAAGUUAUCAUGGUCCCUAUCCUACAAAUUGUUCCCUUCUGAAUAGCUGUAUUUCUGGAUUCAUUGAAACAACUGCAGUGAGAAAGCUUUGGCUGGAGUUCUACACUCUUUGUUGUCAUUGGAAAAAAUUUGCUUUACUAGUAAUAAAGAAACCAAAGAAGUAUUUGAUCACCAUCAGUUGAUGGCAGCUUAAUUUAGCAUCCUGUAAUUGUUAUUCCUGCACAUUUUAUUGAAAAAUUCCACUGUCCAUCAUGUGAUGGUAGUUCAGGUACAACAGUUCAGCUGCAGAGGUCCAUAUCUAGUAACAUUUGGAGAAUGACAGAAAAAUUAGUAUUUUUUCAUAUAUCUUUACUGCUUUGUUUGUAAAAUACGUUUUUCCUCCUUUCAGAACUAACCUGUUAUACUCUUCUUUGCUUCUAGAUGUUUUUCAUGUGAAUGUAAGCAUGAAAUCUAGAAACCGCAUAAAUUGGACCUAGAACAGAGCAGUGGAUGUAAUGAAAUGGCUGUUCUGCUACUACUGGUGAAAAGACUAUGUUCCUUGCAGAGAAUUAGUUGAAGAAGUUGGUGUCCAGAUUUUUGAUACAUAAUUGGUAAAUCUCAAUACAGAGGGCUUUCUGACAAAAAAUAAGCAGAGUGUUACUGAUAUUAGACUUGCAGUACAAGUGACAGCAAAAUCAUGACAAAAAAGAAACCCUUCACCCCUUCAAAAAGUUUGGUUUUUUUUUUAAAUGCUUUUCAGUUUUUAAAAUCUCACUUCACUAGACUGGUAUCAAUUAGACUUAUUUACAUUUUUGUAUUUCCUUUGUGAAUAUUGCAUUAUAGAGGAAGAAUUACCUGAAAUCCUAGUCUGAGAGGUAAGAAAAUCCCAUCCUUCCUCUUCUCCCUGUGCAUUUUCAUUCUAUAUGUUUGUGACCAUGCUCAGAAAACUGGGUCAGAUUUUCACUUGAAUCUGAAGAGUUAUGUAUUUUUGCUGGAGCUUUGCUUAACUUUUCAAAAAGCAGGUCAAGCUGGCAGGAUAUUUUUGUUUUCUUUACAGAAUCAAAGUCACCACCUCUGGUGUACAAGUACAUAAUAUAAUCAUUGAUGAACUGCUUGCAACUUAUGGGAGAGCUUUGUUAAUGGUGGUAAAAUGCAGUUUGUGGCAAAGGAAUCGAACCAUUCCUCUGCAGAAGUGUGCUUACAAAGAAAGAAUUGAUAACGUUCAAGUUCCAGCUCUCAGAGUCAUGUGACAACAACAGAACCCUCAAGGGAAAAAAAAAUCGAGACCUCAUGGCUGUGGGAGGGAGGAAAGCUUAAAAACGUGACCCGAAUUCACCCUGAAGACUCAAAUACCAAAGGGAAGAAAAAGAGCAUAGUGUCGUAAAUUGGUAAUAGUAAAGAUUUCUGUACUCGGGGGAAGGAAGAGUGACUAAUUAAUGGUCCUUUCUAUUCAGUGCUAGGUGUCAAUAUGUUCCAUUCACAAAUGAGGUGUCACAUAAUCUAGGCACAAAAGCACACAAGCUUCAGCACAGGGACUGUUACUUCUUGGCAUGACACGCCUCUGUCCGUACAACUGGCCCUUAGUGCUUUUCAGAGCUUUGCGCUAUAAAAGCAAGAGCAGGAACCAAAACGCAAAUGCUUUAUUCAUAGUAGUAACACAACUCUCU